rnacentral:hammerhead_ribozyme from 1 species
AUGCAGCUGAUGAGUUCCAAAUAGGACGAAACGCGCAUCCUGGAU